rnacentral:telomerase_RNA from 1 species
UCUGUCGCCUCUCUCAUCAGCCACACCUCGCCUUCCCUACAGUUUCCCGAACAACCGAGUCUCUUCACCGGGAUUUCCAUUGGCAGAAACACUUCGUGUGAUCGUCUGCCCCUCUUGGACCUUUCGGCUUCGGAACUUAACCCUACGCUUCUUAUUGGUUUGGCCCUUUCCGAAGGGCCUGCAGGCUUGCGUUCGCGGUCCGCCCCGUCGUGCUUUUUAGGCCCGUCUAGUUUUGCUGGCGCAGAAACCCGACAGUUCGCUGGAAGGCUCUCAUUCCUCGCGUCCGCUGAAAAGUUGUCGCGGGACCGGCAUCAUGAUGGGCUGACCGGCGCUAUACGGGGCACUUCCAGUCACCGUUUGCCCUGUCUCUUCGAAGACGGGGUGGUGGGCAAGCGCGCGGACCCAUGAGUCCGUAAGAUAAGAACCUCUGGCCUGAGGUCACUCGUCAGGCCGCGCCACUGGACUCAGCACCCUGAUCACCGCUUGUGGGUUGCCAUCUUGGUCAAAGUCGGAUGCAAAAUGGCUGUCUUGGACGGGUGCGUGUUCGUCCAGCGAGAGCUCUCCUUUCGAUUUUUCGUGUCUCGCUCCAUACUCUGGGGCUCGAGACUCCCAGACGAGAAGUGGAGGGCAGCUUGGGCCACAACGGACAGAGCAGUGGGCGUUUCGCAGAACAUCUGUGCCAGCAAUUCACCUUGCCUGAAUCAGCCAGACUCUCGUUUUCUCGGUCUGAGUAAGGAUUGUCUCUGGCUCCUCACGGAAACUCCCGCUGCUCUGUUAACAUAUACAUGCCCUUGCUGUCACCCUCCCGGAAACUCUUCGUCCUGGGCUGCCUUGGCAGGAAAUGGACAGCUCCGCCGCCGGUACUCACCUGCCACAGUCUCGCUCAUAGACGUCCAGUGGCCUCGCUCCCGCUGGCUAUUGCUGCCGUGCGGGGACGUGACAUGUUGCAUGUGGCCCACGAUCAGACGCAUCAACCUGUCGGCCAGCGCUGCUUUGUCUUGCUGGCCCGACAGGCCGCCAUUACCAAGGGCCGUGUCAUGCGGUUCUUCUCCUUUUCCUCCGGUUCAAGAACUGCAGAGAUGAUAGCGCGGUUUUUACAGAUGGUUUUGUCUGCGCGGAAACCAUGCCCUAGUCUCUGAUUUUUCACGAGAUGAAGGCAACAAAAUCUAGUCUUCGUCGGCAGUGUGCAACAACGGACAGAGCUUCUUUCGCCAGGUUUGGACCUGAGUCCACUGAGGGGGGGCCGAGAGCACGGAGAGGGCCGGGACCACCUCCAGGGGUGGUUGUGGAUUUCCGCCUUCUUGCAAGAGCCUGGGCUAGUCAGUUUAUGAGGAACAGGUGUCCCGGACUCGCUUCCGGGCGGUGAGUCGUGGGGUGGGUGCUGGCGUGCAGACGAAGUAUGCGAAGCGUGGACCAGAGCUGCUACUGAUUCGAGGGCUCCAUGUCCGAUCCUGCCGUCUCUACUCUCGCUUGCAUCUGUCUGGGGUAACUUCACGCCGUGGGAAGCAUGGCUUCGGGACCCAUCUCGAGUUGGAGUCAGAGCUUCGUGCUCGUCUGGGCCUGUCGAACACGGCGGGGCUGCUUUCUCGGCCGAUUCGAGCUCGGGAAGAGAUGCUGCAGACGGACAGUUUCUGGGGGGGAGGCGAGCUUUCCUCGUGGUGGCAGCUCUUUGGACAAGGGACGGGGCUUUGUGGUUAAGCCGUCCCGGCUGCUCUCUCGCCUGGAAGAUGGUGCAGAGAGCAGCCCUCCUGGUUUUGAGG